CACGAACUGCGCGAACGUUAUUCGGAAUCACUGGGCUUAAAGAGUUCGUAGGCUGUCUAGUUAGUCGGGUGUGAAAUCCCUCGGCCCAACCGAGGAACUGCGCCCGAUACUGCUAGGCUUGAGGAAGACAGGGGUAAGCGGAACUGAUGGUGGAGCGGUGAAAUGCGUUGAUAUCAUCAGGAACACCGGUGGCGAAGGCGGCUUACUGGGUCUUUUCUGACGCUGAGGAACGAAAGCUAGGGGAGCGAACGGG
rnacentral:rRNA from 1 species